AUAAGAAGUAUGACACUCACAGUGAAAGCACAAAACAUCAAGCCAACAGUUCAGGACUAGUCAUUCAAAUGGACUAAAGGACCCUUGGUGGGCAGUGCCUAAACAGAGACAACUACAGGUUUCUGGCUGUGGCCACUCUCUGGUGAAACUAAGGGGUUUCUGUGUGGAGGCGCCUAACAGCCACCGUCCAGUUUGGGUAAAGAAAGCUUUUUAUGGUUCACUAAGGACAAUCAACCCCUUCGCAAUCUAGAACCAAAAGACUGGAUCUUCUGAGAACAUCUGCUAGACCAUCAAGCUUCAGAUGCUCAUGUGACAAGGGUUCCAGCCAGUUCCAGGUGAAGACACCACUCCUAGCCAUCAAGGAACUACCCUGUCUCCACUAGACAGAGAACGUAGUAUGAUGCCUCUGGCUUCCCUCUAUCACACGUCUUCUUGUCGAAUAAAGGUUUUUCAUAAAUGUGAGUGUGGAAGAAGAAACCAGGUAUGUCCACAUAGGAAUGAGACAGAAAAAAUGGAAAGGAAGAACUCAACUUAUCCUUGUUUACAGAAGUUAAAUAUGGAACUUCACACCAGGACACAAAAGGACUUCAAACUUUUAGAUUCCACAAGUAUGUGAAAAGACGCAGUAUUUGUCUUUCUGUGCAUGGUUUACUUCACUUAUCAUCAUGUACCUCAGGUUCGUCCACGUUGUUGCAAAUGACAGGAUUUCAUUCAUUUUUAAGACUGAAUAGUACUCCAUUAUGCAAAUAUACCAGAUUUUCAUUGUCUAUUUGUUCACUGAUGAACACGGUUUAAUCCUAUAUGUUGGCUAUUGUGAAUAAAGCUGCAAUGAAUAUGAGAGUACAGAUAUAUUCUUGACAUAUUAAUUUUAUUUUAUUUGGCAAUAUACCCAAUAGUAGCUAGAUCAUAUGAGAGUUCUAUUUUUAAUUUUUGAGGAACCUUCAUACUGUUUUUCAUAAUAGUUGUUACUAAUUUACACUCAGUAUACAAGAGUUCCCUUUUCUCCACAUUCUUUCCAAAAUUUGUUUCCUUUUGUCUUUUUGAUAACAGCCACUCUAACUGGAGUGAAAUAAUA